UACAGAGGCCCCAAGCGUUACUGAGAAUCACUGGGUUUAAAGGGUGCGUAGGUGGCGCGUUAAGUCAGGGGUGAAAUCCUGGAGCUCAACUCCAGAACUGCCUUUGAUACUGGGGAUCUUGAGUUCGGGAGAGGUGAGUGGAACUGCGAGUGUAGAGGUGAAAUUCGUAGAUAUUCGCAAGAACACCAGUGGCGAAGGCGGCUCACUGGCCCGAUACUGACGCUGAGGCACGAAAGCGUGGGGAGCAAACAGG
rnacentral:rRNA from 1 species